AGCCGGCGUCAAGCAGAAACAACAUUAACACAAUGGUUCAGAUCAAGGUUUCUGCUUCACGCUCAUUAAGUGCCAACACAUAUAGCAGGGUCUGAGUAUUGAAUGUUAAAUGUCGGACAGCGGCGGACGGGUGAGUAACGCGUGGGCAACCUGCCUUUUACUGGGGGAUAACACAGGGAAACUUGUGCUAAUACCGCAUGACAUCACAUGGGGCAUCCCGUGUGAUCAAAGGAGUAAUCCGGUAAAAGAUGGGCCCGCGUCCGAUUAGCUAGUUGGUGAGGUAACGGCCCACCAAGGCGACGAUCGGUAGCCGGACUGAGAGGUUGGCCGGCCACAUUGGGACUGAGACACGGCCCAGACUCCUACGGGAGGCAGCAGUGGGGAAUAUUGCGCAAUGGGGGAAACCCUGACGCAGCGACGCCGCGUGAAGGAUGAAGGCCUUCGGGUUGUAAACUUCUUUGAUGAGGGACGAAUAAAUGACGGUACCUCAAAAACAAGCCACGGCUAACUACGUG
rnacentral:rRNA from 1 species